CUAUAUAUCUGAGUCCGAUCGCUAUCAAAUCGUCGGACCUCUUUCACACCGUCCAUCUCGUCUCAAUCGAACGGCUUGGUUUUGCUUUUUUUUUUCCGUCCCAAACGUCACCCCAAAUCACUCGCCCAAAAUACCGCCCCCAACCGUCGUCCGCCGCCCUCGCUACCUUCCCAUCGUCAUCCCUAUGCUCUCCAUUCUGCCCCAGCGUCCAUGCUCUCCACCCCUCUCCUCAUCGCCGUGCCACAUCCUACACUCGAGCCGAUGCUUCCGCCUCCAACUGCUUGGAAUCGGACGCCUGAACGCACCCAUGAAGCUCCGCCGUCGGGGCAUCACCGGCCGGCGACCGGCGCAGAUGCGACACAACCAGGCCGGAAAGGAUCCAAUCAGCCAAAGCUGUGGGUUCUAGUCUGCUUCUACCACACACGUUUGCGGUCUUGAUUUCUUCAAUGACUUCACGAUUUAGGGACAAGGUCAAAUUGGUACAUACAUCAGAGGAAGAUGUAUCCACAUGCUGGAAGCAAGCAUAUCCAAUUUUAAUUUGAAAUUUACAUGUUUCCACCACAGAUGAGUUAUGCUGAGGUAGCACUACUUAUGUGCUUCAAAACGUCUAUGCCUCCAAUACAUAAUGGUUAUAUUGUGAAAGAACUAAUUCCUUGCGUAGAAAUAUUCAUGCUUCCAAUUUCAAUUGCUUCACAUACAUAUGAUCUAUAUUGAUGUAGCACUAAUCUCUUGAUUCGAAAUAUCUCUGUGUAUACUAUAUGUUUUUCUUCGGUCUAGAUGGUUUGUGGCAUAUAACCAUGCUUCUUGCUUCUUGAUUUUUUUUAGUUUCCGUGCCAUUGUAGUUUAAAUAUUGCGCUCGUGGUACUUGUUAUGUUUGAGGCUUUGAAGCUUCUAUGUGGUACUAGUUAUGUUGAGAUAGCAUAAAAUUGAUUCUUCCAAAGUAUGUACGUUUUUUGAGUUUGUAUAAUAGAACCAUGCUCUACCUUUUGCAUUUGUUGUUAUAUAAUUGAUGCUUCCAAAGCAUGUAUGUUUUUCAAGUUUUCCAUAAUAGAACCAUGCUCUACCUUUUGCAUUUGUUUUCAAAUGGAAAUAGCUUUGUGGAAGCAAGUUUUGAUACUACUGGAAGCAAAUUAUAUCAUCGAUGAGAAGCUUUUAUUUUGAACAUGCUUCCCAACCAUUAUAGAUUGCUGAUCAAGCUAUACUCCCUCUGUACUAUGGUUGUACAUAAAUUUUUUUGUGCCAUUUCUUUUGGGGCAAGCGUGCCUUUUUGUGUUUCGAAACUUCUAUGCUUCCAAUAAGUAUCAUAUACGGUGACACUAACAAAGUCUUUUUUUUCUGAAAAAUCAUGGUUCAAAUUAGUAUCAUACAUGUUGUGAUACUACAUGGUUUUGCUUCUGAAAAUCCAUGCUUCCUAAGUUUCUUUUGUGAGAGGAACAUAGUUUUGAUUCCGAGAAUCCAUGCUUCACACGUCUAUUAUAUACAGGAGAUAAUUGUAGGUCGUCAACGAGCCCCCACUAUUCUUCGUUAACACCAUCAUCGUUGUUCUCGGAGGUUGCUAUGAUCUCGUCAACGCUCCUUCUCGAAAUUGGUGAUCUGCACACCAGUGCCAUGUUUAAACAUGUGUUGUCCUAGCGGGCGUGCUUCUAUUGUCUUAGGGGCAUGUAGCGCUACUUACUGUUGCCCCAUUAUUGUACAUGGAAGCAAAUUCUGAUACCUCUACAUGCUUCCAUUCCUUUGAUAUUGUUUAUAUGCUGCAGCUUUGCUAACAUUCAGAUCGACAUGCUGGUCCUCAUCGUCGUUAAUGGAAAGGUUGGUGAGGCACGUCAAGGAGCACGUUUUCCUUUGCACUGAUCCAUCUUGGCAGCGGCGGCAUCAAGGCGACCGGCUGCUUCCACAAAUUUCAUAGCUUUGCUCCAUCCAUGUAGUUUCAAUCCCUUCACCAUUUUGCUGACGUAGGAAGAAAGGCCACCAACUGAAAUUCUGAAUGAACCACGACCACCAAGGAAGCAUGGUCCUCCUCUGAAGAAGCAUGGUCUGCCUCUGAAGAAGCAUGCUAUACCUUUGAAGAAGCACCGUCUGCCUGAAGAAGCACAACUACAAUAUCAAGGAAGCACACAGCUAACGUUGGAAAGUAGCAUGACCACAGUAUCAUAGGGUUGCAAGCAAAGACAUCGGCUCAUCGGCGGCGUUGUCAUAAGUUGUACGAGAUUAGGAAGAAACUAUCAAUUUGUUUGGAGCACAAGCAUGGAAUCGAUAUUUUUUAUCCACGGGAGCAUGAUUCCUUGUCAAUGGAAGCAAGAAAAAUUGUACAUGAAAGCUCAGUUGUAUUUCUUGGAAGCACAUUCCUACUUCUUUUGAAUUAUGUAUAAUCAUGAUAGUAGUUA